rnacentral:tRNA from 1 species
GCGGUUAUAGCUCAAUUGGAUAGAGCAUCGGUCUUCGGAACCGAGGGUUGCAGGUUCAAAUCCUACUAGCCGCA